UACAACUCNCAACAACGGAUCUCUUGGUGGGNGUAUCGAUGAAGAACGCAGCGAAAUGCGAUAAGUAAUGU
rnacentral:rRNA from 1 species